rnacentral:tRNA from 1 species
GGGGAUUUAGCUCAGUGGUAGAGCGCUUGCCUAGGAAGCGCAAGCGCAAGGCCCUGGGUUCGGUCCCCAGCUCCG